UACAGAGGUCUCAAGCGUUGUUCGGAUUCAUUGGGCGUAAAGGGUGCGUAGGCGGCGCGGUAAGUCGGGUGUGAAAUCUCGGAGCUUAACUCCGAAACUGCAUUCGAUACUGCCGUGCUUGAGGACUGGAGAGGAGACUGGAAUUUACGGUGUAGCGGUGAAAUGCGCAGAUAUCAGGAAGAACACCCGUGGCUAAGGCGGUUCUCUAGUACGGUACUGACGCUGAGACGCGAAAGCGUGGGGAGCGAACAGG
rnacentral:rRNA from 1 species